UGCGCUGCCCAAGUUAACUGCAAGCAUUUCCUGACACCCAGAGCGCAGGCAGAAAAAGGAAAAACGUCGACUUGAGAAAAGCACAGCUUCCAAUCCCCACCCACCAGCUUCAGUCAAAGGGAUGACUUCAGUCCCUUUCUUAACUAAUCCUGUCACUGUAAAAUCCUACAGUCAUUCUUCCACACAUAAAGGGAAAACGGACUCACUAGGAGGACUUAGACUCUUUCAGCUUGAACUGUUAGCCAAUGGUGGAAAUGCAAGAAUGCUGAAGUUGUGCCUUCGGAGCCAAUAGAGUGGAUUUGUGUGUCCCACAUGACUGUGUUUCCCCUGUCUUUCACAUGGGCAGUAUUUAGUUCAAUUCAGAACUGCAGAUAGUAUAGCGUGCAGAGCAGCAAUGGGAUGUCUGAGCACAAGUGGCUGACUUCCAGGCGACUUCAGGAAGCGCAUUUGUAAUAUUUCUCCUGAAUUAAACUGGGAUUCUGCACUCUUGACAUCCUCCGACCCUCCUUGUCUCUGCAGAAGGAGACAGCGACCUGCACAGCACAGCAAAACUACAAAUCACUGCAGAGCUGCAGACCAGCAAAGGAAGUGAACUGAGGGCAAUUUGACCAACAUCGUCUGUGUCAGCUCCCCAGAGGUUGAUGAAACAUGUUAUCAGGUCUCCAAGGAGGAGGGGAAGAAAUAAGCCACUACAAAAACAAAAACUGCUUUCCUCAUGGAAGAAUGGUAACUUUGGACAACAUUUGGCACCACAAGUUCAAAGGGCUAUUUCAUCUGCAUUAUGAGCAGCCAGGUGCCAGCUGGUGUAAAGGCAGAUGCCACUGACGUCAAUGGAGCAGUGCCAGUUUGCACUAGCUGAGAAUCUGAUCCCAAGUGUGUUAGAACCAUUUUUAGAUGCUGACACUGGAAUUGAUUUUUGCAACACAAUUAAAAAUACAUCCAUGCACUGUAUUUCUUCCUGUCUCCAGGUGUAUAACUGGAAGCCUGUGGGAGAGUUGACAGACUGUGGGAGAGGGCAAGUAGGAGCUAGAAGUAGCCAACAACUGUAUCCGUGAGAUAACUUUGCAAUACAAAAACCAAUGCAUUAGUUGCAUAAUUUCAGCGCAGAAAGCUAAGAGUGGACCUAGCAAAAAAGAAGUCUGACCAGCUGAGCUGCGAGACCACCUUCUGCAGAAGAACCCUGCUCCCAAACGUAAAUCAGGUAAAAUUUCUAAAAACUGGCAGCUCCUUUCACAGAGGCUCAAAUAGGAUGGACAGAGAAGGUUGUUGGUAAGAGAAAAAUGAGUGAAGUUGCAUCAUCUGAAUAAUUAAAAUCAUUGUGUGAAUUUUGAUUUCCCCCCACCCUCUUUUCAGACAUUUGAGGAUGCUGUCAAGUCAAUGAAGCUCUGUUGUAGUGGUUGCUUCAGUGAACAUUCAACGCUGUCGGUGAGUUUGGAAUUAAAGUGAAAACCAUCGACCGUUGAUUGUACCCUCCAGCUAACCAUCCUCCUCCUUACUUCAUGCUUUCAGGCCUUAACAUCGAAGAUAGCAACCUAAUCACCACAUGAUGUUUCUUCCCUACUCUGCCAAGCUUUACAAAAAAGGUCACAAUCAACAUUCAUUGCUGUCGGUGGGUUUAACUAUGUGGACAAGCUCACUGAACAAUGAAUGCAACUGUGGCCCCACAUUUUGCAGUUACUGAUGAGAGGAAUAUCAGCUCUGAAAGCAGUAGUGAGCAGCAAAUAUUUAUAGGCUACAUUUUUCUGUUUAAAAAAAAAGUGUGGUUGGGAUAUCUACUUUUUGCUUGCUUGUUUGUUUUCAAGUUUAACUUAGCUGACUAGAAAGAAAAGCCUGUUUUUUCUGGAAUAUUGUCCUCAGUAUUGAAACCAUAAAAUCUGUUAUUCAGUAUGUACAUGGAAAUAAGUAACAAUACAGGGAGCUUUGUGUGUGUCCACUCCUGAUGUCUCUGAGCACAAGAGGAUAGAAUAUUUAAAUGUUUUAACUAGGCAUUGUGAAAUAGUUCAGAAGUUCC